UUCCGGAGUGACGAGGCCAUGCCUUCAUCUUCUUCAUGGGGAUGACUGCACUGCAGAAAAAUUGGAUGUGGGGGAUUCCCAUAUCACUGAAACUACAGAAUAUAAGAGAUGGACAUGAACGUGAAGAUGAAGGUUACAGUUGUCUGAGUAUGAUUAUAGACUUGCUCCAGUCCACUCACGUCCUAUCUUAUCAGCCAGACGGAUUGUCAGUAGCAAUUGGGCGAGCAAAAGUUGCUACGUGGAAAUAUUUGCAAGCAGUGAUACUCAUGUGACUGCACUGCGGGGGUGCACAUUUUCAGAAGAUACAACUAUCAUGGCAAAAAAUUAUAAAUCCAUUUUUGGCACACAUUGAAUUGGCCGUUCUUCAAGGCAGAAUUUGUUGUGUAUUUCCUGGUAGGAUUAAAAAAAUUGUGGC